UCUAAGUAGCAGGUCUAAAGUUAUCAAUGUUAAAUUCUGAGAUGCUGGUAAUUUAUCAAGUAAAUCAGACCUUUCUAUCAAGGGGAUUUCUCCUUCUUGUAUUCUAGGGUCCACAAAUCAAUCCAAGGAGGGGUUGGGGGGAGAUACUCCUGACUCUUCGUGCACCAGCUCUUGGCUUUGGGCUUCACACUGUAAAAUCCAAAGGCAGGCUACAGAAAGCACGUUAUUGUGUAUGGCAGGGAUUGUACCUCUGAUGUAUGUCUUCUCUGCACAUUUCGCUGGGUUGCCCUAGUCUGGGUGUAAGCAGCCAUACUGCAAAGCCCUACCUGAAUUACUGUGUCCUCUCUAGUGCUGCACUCCCUCGUGGGUUUUGCUAGGAUUUGUGGGAGCAUGUCCCAUGAUUUCUAACACUUCAGUAAACUGAGCCGCUGCAUGUUCCUUCCCAGUGAAUUGUGGGAUAACUUGUCUGCCCUUCUGGGAACACAGGGGGAAUUGUAGGAAGGCAGUGGAGGAUUAUCAGCCCUCACCCUGUGUCCUGACUGCAAAGUGGACAGCUUACCAGCCCGAAUGGAGUGGAACCCAAUCUUUAACUUACACCCCCACUGUACCAGCUAGCCCAGGUCAAAAGCUUCAGCUAAGCUCAAGUAAGAGAGCUAUGUGUGUGAAUGGGAAGGAGGCACCACUCAAAUAAGAGCCUACACUAACUCUGCAGUGAAGACAUAUGACAAGUUAUAAUCUUCAGAGCUUCUCCCAGGCAAUGGGGCUCUGCACCACUCCUAGUACAAACCGGUGGGAGGGCUAUUCAAUCUAACCAUAUGUAAAUAGAUACAUAAUAGAUGAUAAUGGUUCCAAAUGAAAUGUUGUGAAAGGAUUAUUUCUCCUAUGCCAAGGAAACAAAACAAAACAGGGAGGGAAGGAGAAAGGAGGGAAUUUCCAAGCUUUAUAGACUGGUUUUGGAGAUGCAGAAAAGCCUUGGGAUCUGACUUCUCAAGACUGCAGGUCCUAGGCUGCAUGGAAGGGACGUCUCUGUAUUGCAUAUGUAGAGAAAUCUACAUGGAUGAAUGACAUCUUUGUAGCAUUGUUUGACUGAUUUCCCCUACUUUUCAUCCCCAAUAGUAUGGCUACUGCAGGAGCUGUCCUACCACUGGAUUAAUUUCUACAUGGUGACUUCAAAUUAGCAGCUUUGGAGGAUCCCAGUGGGAGUUAAUACAGUCUGAACCAGCAUUAACUCACAAACAAAUUUCUGAUUGAACAUCCACUGGGGAUGAUUCCAUGUCUCUUCAAAUUUGUAAAGCAGCAUCAAUAGCCUUCAGGGGGAAGAUAAGGCAAUUCUUUUAUCUACAACAGGACCAAGAGGAGGAUUGAGGCAGCAACAUUCCAAGACUAUGUGGCUCCUAAAGCAUGAGCAGAGACACAGGGACUCGGAUGUUCCAUGCCACAUGCUGUGCUGCCCUGAAUCGUCUGUGAAUCUUACCAUGCUGGCCCCCAGCUAUUGUCAAAUGGAUUUGGUCUUUCUUAGGCAAGAUGCUAAAACAACUAUCUAAGCUGGUGUGAAAUGCAAGAACUUGAGGGCACUGACUUGUGCUACAAAAUGAUGGCUACUGAAGGAGUUCAGGCAGGGGUUAUGCAUGGAGAGCAUAGCUAGUACAAAGAACAGUUGCCUUUGUGUUUAGCUACAUAUAAUCACAGCAGGUACAAUACAUUUUGCCUCUAUUUGCAAGGGGAAAUAGACAACUAUGUGGAGGGUCCAACUGUUCAAUAUAAACCGAGCACCAGAUCAUCUCCCUGUCACCUUCUAAUUUCAAAUUUCCUACAUUUCUGUAAAACUGUUUUCCUUAUUUAUGUUGAUUUAAGAAAGCCAAGAAGACACACUGGAGAA